GGGGGUAUGGCUCAAAUACUAGAGCACUUGCCUGGUAAGUAUGAGGCCCAGAGUUCAAUCCCCAGCACCACCA
rnacentral:tRNA from 1 species